CCCAAGAGGAAUCUUAAAGCUGCAGAACAUCCUUUCCUCGCCGCCAACUCCUGGAGCCCAGGGGAAAGGGAUCGAGCCUACAACGAGCCUACAAUCCUACGUGCCCAAGGCGGGUUAGACAAUGGGGAGAAGGAGCGGUGAUUAAAAAAUGAACAAGGUCCUGCCAAGAGGAGUUCACAGUCUAGCGCGCAAGGCGGACCAGACUGGCUGAGAGAGAGGAAGGGAAAAGGAGAGAUAAAAACAUCGAUGAGAAACAUCACAUCAAUCGGCUGCUUUUGCACGCCCCCUACCGAGGAUCUAGCUGGCAACCCAGGCCUCGGGUCUGUGGGCAGAUGGCCUGUGGGCUCCGUCCACUUCAGCCUGUUCUUCCCUGGCAAAGGGAAAACAAUUUCCAAGACACAUGCCUCAUUGUGCCUGCUCAAUGACACUGCUGCUCUUCUAACCUACGAACCAAAGUUAGCUGUGAUGACCUGGAUUGACCCAAGAUGCUCCAGUGUUCUUCGUGCCUCCAACAGCUCUCUUCCAACACACCC